ensembl:lncRNA
UUUUUUUUUUUUUUUUUUUUUUUUUCCGUUAAACCCGAAUUAUGUAAAUCUAAAUUUUAAUGCAGGCUCUUGGAAAAGCAUUUUAGGACCUGUCUUCAUUUUACAAAAUGUGGUACUUUAGACGUUUUCUUACUGCUUAUUUCUGAAGAAUUUACUUAGAGUCACCUCUAACCAACCUCAGAUUCCAAGAAUUAUUCAGCACCAAACUUCUAUAGUCAGCAACAAAUGGGAGAACUCAAAAAUAAUACAAGGGCAUACUUCUUAAUUGCUCCUUUAUUGUCUUUGCAGUCUGAUUCUACUCUAGAGACUGUUAGCUUUACUGACCACAGAAAUUAAUCUUUGCAAAGUCCUAAACUUUUGGAGCUCAGUGUAUCAGAGAGGUUAUUUUUAGAAGAGAUAAAACCACCAGUUAUUUAAAAUGAGGUAAUGGUGUGUGUAUGUUGUAGGGGGUGGAUUGGAAACAUUUCGUGCUGAUGAAUAAUUCAGUUUGAUUUACUGGAGAAAUGAAAGGGGAUAGCAUUCUGCCCUUCUCAAUGUAAAAAAAGAUAAUAGUGGUUUCGCAUUAACUGUAUAUCUGAAAGUAUCUAAUACAGCUUAUUUUUGUUCCAGGUCAAGUUAUCUUUAAAAUAGUUUAAGACUGGCUGUCAUAUUAAAGUGCACCUUUAAGAAUAAAAGGAGUGUGAGAUGAAAUUGUGCCAUUUGCUCCAUCAUCACACCCCUACCCAGGUCUCCUUGCAAAAACAAAACGUGUUUCUUAAUUAUUUAAAAACAUGAAAGAAGUCAGAGGUUGGGAAUCCUGAUGACAAGAAAGGCCAUCGUGAAUGACCCCAGUAGUUCAGGUAACCAAGCCAGCUUUAUGAGUGCUGUUCCUUUGACACUGCAAAGGCAUGGACUUUCAGAAGCUGAGCUUAUUCUUGUAGCUAUUGUUUUGCAUGAAUAGUUCCACACUAGCCUUAGCUCAGUCACUUUUAAAUAAGAGGCCAACGAAUUAUGUAAAAGCAGCGGAUAUAAACAUGUGAAUGUAUGUAUUAGGAUAUGUUGAUGAAAUUAUGAGGCCUGACAUUCACAUAAAGAGGCUUUGUACAUUAAGCGUCUGUUCUUCUAUUUGCAAGGCUACUCAUCUGUUGCGUUUAACUGAGGUCUUCUUAAUUAGAAGUAGACAGUGAACAUAUCUGCUGAAUCUGAGAGGCAACCAGAAUAUAUGGUCACGAAUGCAAAGUCUUUCCUCUUUCCCCUCCCGACCCAUGCACUUCCCACCAGGGGAAGUGGCCAUUUGAGAGGGCGGUUCCUGGGAGGUAGUGGAGAAGGAGCUUGGGAGACAGCGGAGAAAGAAUGCUGCUUAGUAUGUGGGAGAGAGGUGGUUCACCAAGGAGAAGCAUGGUUUUGAAUUUAUUUACUGUCUUUUUCUGUAGUUGUUGUUCUGCAAAAUGGCGAGGUUAUACUCUUACCCUUUAAACCACCGUGUCUGUAUAAACAUGUUUAUUUCAGGAAAGCCAUUAGUAGAGGAAUGUAUAUUUCUCUCAUUUAUGAUGCCACUUUGACAGGUUUCCUAAGUAAAGGAAGCUCUCUGUCUUCUCUUGUUUGUAGUUUUCCUACAGAUGACUUGGAACAUGACUUCUGUGUGGAUGAGUGUAACAUGCUUAGAGAUGAGAUGAAUUGGGCAGUAUUUUACUGGGGCUGAGUUGGGGAGAAUUAUUCUGUGGCAGCAUAAGUCAUUUAGUAUAGUCUAGAUGUAGUCAAAGAGAAAAGCAGUUGGUCAAAAUAACAGAAUCUGUGGCAGCAGUGAAGUGUUAGAAGCAUAUCAAAGCUGCACGCGUGGAAAAAUGAGUCGUAAGUUCAGAGGCAGUGACAGUCAGGGAUAGAGCAGAGACACAGAGGUGAGCGCAGGCACGGAGUGAGUGGCUCAGGGGACAGGCGAAGUUCAUCAGCUAUUUAUAAGACACCCACUGUGGGCCGGACAAGGUGCUGAGUCUAAAGGUAAGUAAUGGAUAGUUCUUGCCUUCAGGGGAGUUAAAAUUACCAGGAGAAAGAAUAUCAGAGAAUAGUUUAAUGUGCUACCUGCCUUGCAAUGGCAGUGCUAUAUGUAAGGGCUUAAAGGAACAGGCUAAUCUGGUGCAGCUUUAUAAAGAGAGAAAAAAAAAAAAAA